GAUGAAGAACUCAGCGAAAUGCGAUAAGUAAUGUGAAUUGCAGAAUUCAGUGAAUCAUCGAAUCUUUGAACGCACCUUGCGCCCUUUGGCUAUUCCAGAGGGCAUGCCUGUUUGAGUAUCAUGAACACCUCAACUCUCAUGGUUCUGCCAUGAUGAGCUUGGACUUUGGAGGUCUUGCUGGCCCCUGUGGUCAGCUCCUCUCAAAUGGAUCAGCUUGCCAGUGUUUGGUGGCAUCACAGGUGUGAUAACUAUCUACGCUUGUGGUUUUCCACCAGGUAACCUUCAGUGAUGGAGGUUCGCUGGAGCUCAUAAACGUCUCUCCUCAGCGAGGACAGCUUCUUGAACGUUUGAUCUCAAAUCAGGUAGGGCUACCCGCUGAACUUAAGCAUAUCAAUAACGGAGGA
rnacentral:misc_RNA from 1 species